rnacentral:misc_RNA from 1 species
GAAAUGCGAUAAGUAAUGUGAAUUGCAGAAUUCAGUGAAUCAUCGAAUCUUUGAACGCACAUUGCGCUCGCCAGUAUUCUGGCGAGCAUGUCUGUUCGAGCGUCAUUUCAACCAUCAAGCUCUGCUUGCGUUGGGGAUCCGCGGCUGCCCGCGGUCCCUCAAAAACAGUGGCGGGCUCGCUAGUCACACCGAGCGUAGUAACUCUACAUCGCUAUGGUCGUGCGGCGGGUUCUUGCCGUAAAACCCCCAAUUUCUAAGGUUGACCUCGGAUCAGGUAGGAAUACCCGCUGAACUUAAGC